rnacentral:rRNA from 1 species
CCUACGGGUGGCAGCAGUGAGGAAUAUUGGGCAAUGGCCGGAAGGCUGAACCAGCCAUGCCGCGUGAAGGUCAGUGCCCUUUGGGCGGUAAACUUCUGUUGUGCGGGAGCAAUAAUGGUCACGUGUGGCCAGACGAGAGUACCGUACGAAUAAGCAUCAGCUAACUCCGUGCCAGCAGCCGCGGUAAUACGGGGGAUGCAAGCGUUAUCCGGAUUUAUUGGGUCUAAAGGGUGCGUAGGCUGGGAGGUAAGUCAGCGGUGAAAUGCCCCCGCUCAACGGGGUGAAGUGCCAUUGAUACUGGCUUGCUGGAAUGCGGAUGACGUGGGAGGAAUGUGUGGUGUAGCGGUGAAAUGCAUAGAUAUCACACAGAACACCGAUUGCGAAGGCAUCUCACGAAUCCGCGAUUGACGCUGAUGCACGAAAGCGUGGGUAUCAAACAGGAUUAGAUACCCUGGUAGUC